GUCACACUGCUUUUGGAAACAGGUGGUGAGGCUGGCGUCGCCAUGUUUUCUAAGGGACUUUCUCAGGAUCAGAUCCAAGGUGACGGGGUUUCGAACUCCAGGACUCAACGGAGCCUCCCAUCUCAGACUCUGGGUGAGAUUAUAGGCGUUAACCAUGACUCCCUACCCAGUAUAAACUCAAACACACCAGGCGCAGCAGCUCACGCCUGUAAUCCCAGCACUUUGGGAGGUGAAGGCAGGUGGAUCACCUGAAGUCAGGAGUUCGAGACCAGCCUGGCCAACAUGGCGAAAUCCCGUCUCUACUAACAAUAACAAAAAUUAGCUGGGCGUGGUGGCAGGCGCCUGUAAUACCAGAGAUUCAGGAGGCUGAGGCAGGAGAAUCGCUUGAACCCAGGAGGUGGAGGUUGCAGCCAGCCAAGAUCGUGCCAUUGCACUCCAGCUGGGGCAACAAGAGUGAAACUCUGUCUCAAAAAAACAAAAACAAAAGCAAAUAAAAUAUUGCUGGGCGCGGUGGCUCACACCUGUAAUCCCAGCAGUUUGGGAGGCCAAGGCGGGCGGAUCACUUGAGGUCAGGAGUUUGAAACCAGCCUGGCCAACAUGGUAAAAACCUUUUCUCUACUAAAAAUACAAAAAAAUUAGCCCAGCGUGGCAGUGGAUGCCUGUAAUCCCAGCUACUUGGGAGGCUGAGACAGGAGAAUCCCUUGAACUCGGGAGGUGGAGGUUGCAGUGAGCCGAGAUCAUGCCAUUGCACUCCAGCCCGGGCGACAGAGCGAGACUUUGUCUCAAAAAAAAUAAAAAAAUAAAAAAACCAAACAUUUAAAAAAUAAAAAACCAAACGAGGCUGGGCACGGUGGCUCAUGCCUCUAAUCCCAGCACUUUGGGAGGCUCAGGCAGGCAGAUCACUUGAGGCCAGGAGUUGGAGACCAGCCUGGCCAACAUGGUGAAACCCUGUUUCUACUAAAAAUACAAAAAUUAGCUAGGCAUGGUCAUGGGAGCCUCUAAUCCCACAGGCUGAGGCAGAAGAAUCGCUUGAACCUGGGAGGUGGAAGUUGCAGUGAACUGAAAUUGCGCCACUGUACUCCAGCCUAGGCGACAGAGCGAGACUCCAUCUCAAAAAAUAAAACAAAACAAAACAAAACAAAAAUGAAAAAAAAAAAAAAUAGCUGGGCAUGGUGGCGGGCGCCUGUGGUCCUAGCUCCUCAGGUGGCUGAGGCGGGAGGAUCUCUUGAGCCCAGGAGUUUGAGGCUGUAGUGAGCUGUGAUUGCACCAUUGCACCCCAGCCUAGUGACACAGUGAGACCCCAUGUCCAUACACAACAAAAGCAAAAGAGGAAUACAAAAAUAGCUAUAUAUUUUUAGUGUUUGCAUUUAAGAAACUGAUGCUUUUAACACAGUAAUACAUUACAAUAUAAUUAUUAUACUCACAAUAUUGUUACAAGAGAAAAAUAAUACAUAAGGCAAGAUAAUGAGGCCUAGUUCCUAAUGAGGGUUUUCUUUCAAUUCAGUGUCUCUAGGUCCAGAAUACUUGCUUGAGGCUAAAAUAAAGGUUUAAAUUUUAGAGUUUUGGCUGGGUGUGUUGGCUCGGGCCUGUAAUCCUUGCACUUUGGGGAGCCAAGAUAGGAGAAUGGCUGGAGCCCAGGAAUUUGAGGUUACAGAGAGCUAUGAUCAUGCCAUUGCACUUCAGCCUGGGCAACAGAGUGAAACCCUGGCUCUUAAGAAGGAAAAAAAAGUUCGAUAAGUAUCCCCAACUUCCUAGUUGAGGACCUGUCAGAGUUGUUCCCCUCUUCCACCAGGGACUUCCUCUGGGUCUCCUACACCUGCUCUGCCUAAUUUCUUCUCCCUCAGGAUCUAAGAGGUCCAAACCACCUUUUAAAUUUUUUUAAUUUUUUUUGAGACAGAGUCUUGCUCUGUUGCCCAGGCUGGAAUGCAAUGGGGCGAUCUCGGCUCACUGCAACCUCCGCCUCCCAGGUUCAAGCGAUUCUCCUGCGUCAGCCUCCCAAGUAGUUGAGACUAUAGGCUCCUGCCACCACACCUAGCUAAUUUUUGUAUUUUUAGCAGAGACGGGAUUUCACCAUAUUGGCCAGGCUGGUCUCGAACUCCUGACCUUGUGAUCUGCCUGCCUCAGCUUCUCAGAGUGCUGGGAUUAUAGGUGUGAGCUACCAUGCCUGGCCAACCACCUUGUCUCUUGGAUGGGACAAAAAAAGCUGAGAUCUGUGGUAUCCGAAGUUGGGGAUCCCAAGGAGAAGGAAGGUUCCAAAAGAUCCUGUUGAGACAAGAGAACCCUUGUAUGCCUCAAGUCAGACUUCUCAGGGCCUAUCAUUUGCAAAGAUCUCCCACUACAGAAACUGUCUGGGGCAAUUUCAGUACCUUUUCUAGGCAUUUCCAUUCUCUUAGAUUCCAGGUGGCACCAGGCUUCUUCCAGGCUUGAGGAAUAUAACAGUGGGUUUCUAUUUCCUUCUUCUUUUUUGUUUAUUUAUUUGUAUAUCAAUGGGUUUCUAAAAGUAACACAACUGGCCAGGCACGGUGGCUCACGCCUGUAAUCUCAGCACUUUGGGAGGCCGAGAUGGGCAGAUCACCUGAUGUCAGGAGUUCGAGACCAGCCUGACCAACAUGGCGAAACUCCAUCUCUACUAAAAAUACAAAAAGUAGCUGGGCGUGUUGGCAUGCACCUGUAGUCCCAGCUACUCAGGAAGCUGAGACAGGAGAAUCACUUGAAGCUGGGAAGCGGAGGUUGCAGUGAGCCGAGAUCCCACCACUGCACUCCAGCCGGGGCGACAGAGUGAGAUUCUGCCUCUAAAUAAAUAAAUAAAUAAAUAAAUAAAUAAAUAAAUAAAUGUAACACAACUAAAAUCUUUUCUUCACUCACCCCUUUCCCUGUGAAUGAUACAGAGAGAGAGGGCUGCAAAGUACAGGUAGGGAGGAAAGCUAUAUUUUGUUUAGCAUAUAACUGAACUCAGGUCUUGUACCACAUUCUUUUUAAAGAGGGUCCCUUUAAUUAUCACACUUAAUCUUCGUGACAACCCUAAGAGGGAGAAAUUAUUAUCCUUGGAAAUUAAAGCAGAAAGGCUCUCUUGCCAGUGAGGAGCAGAGGUUAAGUUUGCUUUGUAAAUGGG
rnacentral:lncRNA from 1 species